rnacentral:rRNA from 1 species
ACCUCAAGUCAAGUAAGAGUACCCGCUGAACUUAAGCAUAUCAAUAAGCGGAGGAAAAGAAACUAACAAGGAUUUCCUUAGUAACGGCGAGUGAAGUGGKAAAAGCUCAAAUUUUAAAUCACCAAGGUUUCUUUGGUGAAUUGUAAUUUGAAGAAAGUCGUUUUGAUAUUCGGGUUUUUAUCCAAGUCCUUUGGGAUAAGGUAUCAUAGAGGGUGAGAAUCCCGUUCAUGAUUAAACCUUGAUGUCACUUAAUUCACUUUCUAAGAGUCGAGUUGUUUGGGAUUGCAGCUCAAAAUGGGUGGUAAAUUUCACCUAAGGCUAAAUAUAUGCAAGAGACCGAUAGCGAACAAGUACCGUGAGGGAAAGAUGAAAAGAACUUUGAAAAGAGAGUUAAAUAGUACGUGAAAUUGUUGAAAGGGAAACGAUUGAAGUCAGUCAUGNUAGUAGGGAAUCAACUUGAUGGAUCGUAGGACUUAUCUUAUGAUCUUUCUUGUGCAUUUUCUUGCUUGGCAGGUUAGCAUCAAUUUCGGGUAUCAUUAAAAAAUCGAGGGAAUGUAGCUUUCUUUCGGGAAAGUGUUAUAGACCUUGAUAAAAUGUGGUGACCGAGAUUGAGGAUUGCAGCGGAUACCUUUUAAGGCUAGUCACCUUGCUUCUGACGGUUACCCUGCUUUCGAGAGCUUGCUCACGAUUGUGGGAUUCAACAGUCUAGAUGUUAGAGUGAUCUUAAAUUCGCUAAGGAUGCUGACGUAAUGGCUUUAAACGACCCGUCUUGAAACACGGACCAAGGAGUCUAANAUUUAUNCNNGUGUUU